CUUCCGUAGGUGAACCUGCGGAAGGAUCAUUCACAAGAUUAUAUUUUAUAUUACUUUGUGGAACAUUUGGUUGAAUUUACAUGUUUUAUUACAAAAAAUUAAUUAUAAUUAAAAAAAUAAUUUUAAGAAAACCUCCAACAACGGAUCUCUUGGUUCCCAGAUCGAUGAAGAGCGCAGCGAAUUGCGAAAUGUGAUGUGUAUUGCAGUGAAUCAUCAAUUCUUGAACGCACAUGGCACCCCUUUUAGGGGUAUGCUUGUAUGAGGGUGUUUAAUAUGAAAUUGCUUUGGCUUUUUUUAAAUAAAUGGUUUUUCAAAUUGUUACUAAUAGACGAAAGAAUCAGUGCAACAAGCUGUGUUGAAUCUUUCAUUAAAUCUUUUAGUUAACUACUUUAACUAUUUGCACCUCAUAUCAAGCAAGACUACCCGCUGAACUUAAGCAUAUCAAUAAGCGGAGGAA
rnacentral:rRNA from 1 species